AGUGAUAGCUCAGUUGGCAGAGCAGUGGGGUGAUACCCCACGGUCCCGGAUUCAAGCCCCGACCAAUUCUA